rnacentral:lncRNA from 1 species
AAAAAAAUCGUGGUUGCUGUGAAACAUUAGAGAUUCUCAGUCAUUUUGAAGCCUGGUAAUACAGUAUUUCUGAGGUAAACUUUCCCAGAUGUUUUGUACUUCCCAUAUGAAAUAUUCAUGAAAGAAUGAAAAAGCACCCUCAGUCAAGAUGUAUUAGGUUGUCACUACUAAUUGCAGUAGACAUGUUAGUUUGUUGCACUGAGAAAAUCACUCCAGCAUAAAGUCAGAGGCUUCUAAAUGGAAAUCAGUUCAGGUAACUUCAUUUUGGCUUUUUUAAGAUUUUUCUUAAAAGCUGGGAAGAGUAACAAACAAAGAGAUCUAAGCAGGCAGUGGAAAGAACCCUGGGCAAUCGGUGGAGAUAACUUUUUUAAAACAUCUCUAUUCUGAACACAGGACAAAGCAAGGAAAGCUUGUGCUAGGCCAAGCUAGAGACAUCAAAAAUGAGGCGAAUGAGAAUUUCAAUUGUCACAGUUGGACUUUUUGCCACCAUUGAGUCUAUGCUGUAAAACCUGAACUGUGCAAUGUUGGUUUAAAAUAGAGACCUUUCAGAGGCUAAGGGAACAUGCCAGUUGCUACAGUAAUGGAAGGGCUCAAGCUGUGCUAAACAAGGUGAAAGCACAAGAUUUUAUUUGCUAUGAAGGUGAUUGCAGAAGUGAUGAAAACAGAUAAAAAGUAAAAACUCUAAGUAGCAGAGCUGUUGUUGUGUAUUGAGCAGGAAGUGGUAUGGUGGUUUGCAAAUAAAAGUCACUAUGAAGAAUUGAGAGUUUACUUCAGGUCAGCUUGUAGAUUUGUCGAGUACUUGUCAGUUUUGAUUGCAAUUUACUUCAAAAAAUUACUAUCUUGUGCAGGAGAUAGUGGUGGAAAUAUCUGUUUGGCUUAGUCUUUGCUUUUUUUCUGUUGUCUGAGACUCAGCAAAACAACUGGUUGGUGAAAUAUUAAAGGCCAUAAUUACACUAUUGUGCUUUGGCAUUAUUUUCCUGCCUCUCCUGUCUUGAUUUUUAAGGGCUAAAAGGAGCUUGACUGACAAGAUGUUGUCUUGACUGCAGUAAUUAAUCUGUUUUGCAGCAUUCAGACUGCUAGCCCCUAAAGAGGGCUAGCAGUCUGGAUAUGAGAGGAUGCUGGUGACUAAGUUCAAUCAAGUGGAUGCCUUAGUUCUGAGAGCUUCAGCAGAGGUACCGUUUUGCUUCAUUAUGCACAUAAACAGACACCUUGAAUGAAUGGCCCUGCCCAUCUUUUGACAGUGUCUUUGCUGGCAGGUGGAUGGUAUUAUAUCAUUGGGCCUUAGGACAGCAAAGGAAAGAACAUCAAGACAUCAAGAAGUGGUGCAAGAGUUAUUCAUUUAACUUCAGUUAAGAAAACUGAGCAUCCACUCUAAGUAGGAUUGAUUAUUUGCCCUGGUUUUUUUUGGUUUUUUUUUAAUCCAGGGACCAGAUCUCCUUCAGAAAGCUGGAGAUCAUGAAAGAGUUUUAUUUGUAAAGCCAUUAAGAUGAUGGUUUGCAAAGUUCUUCAAUCAAAUCAAAACUUCCACAAGAAGGUGCCUCAAAAGAGAUAAUCGUAACAUUAUUUUUCCAGGCUUCUGCAGGUACUAUGCUUUAAACAAGCACUUUCUUGUAUGUACAGGAGGCCUGGAUAUGUGCAGAACAUCAACAUUAAAAAGAGCCAACAAAGCUGACUGCUUGUGGAGGUAAAAUAAAAUACUAAAGUUACAGUAUUCUUUGGAUUCCCAGUAAGAUGAAUCAUCCAUUCCUCACUUUUAAAGAUGUACUUCAUGGACGACAAAAAUACUCCUUGAAACCAAUCCUUUCAUCAUCUGAAGCUUAUUUUUUCAUUGACACAUCAGAACAAGAGGAAGUGUCAUUGUUUAGAGAUUACAUAUUUGUCAUAUCUAAGGAAGGAUCAAAAGCAAGUUACAGUUCCUUCUGGCUUUCUCCCAGGCUAGAAUUUUCUAUUUUCAGUAUGUGCAGAAAUGUGUUCUAUUUUCAGAAAUGUGCAGAAAGCUGUUUCUUUCAGCUUACAAUAUAGACAUCUUUGGUAUAUGAAUCAAAUUAAAUAACCAGUGGCAUCCCAAUUUCUUUUAGCAGAAAGUAAUGACUGUGAGGAGGAAGCUCAUUAUUAAUCACCUAAAAGAAUGUGAAAGAAUGGCUUUCCGAAUGGAGAAACCAAGGAGGAACUUCAGAGAUCUGAGUCAACUUCAAGUCCAACAUUUUUUGAUCUAUGGCUAUGUAUGUAUUGGCAAGUAAGGGAGAGUGUGGAGCAAUCAGUGGUGAGGACUGAGCCAGAACUCUGAUUUUAUGUUGGUUUCUUUUUUUUUACUGCUCUAUUUGGGCUUACAUCCCCUAUUUAACUCUAGUUAUAUAUCAUGGCCUAACUGUGCAUUAGCAGUUGGAGAGCAUUAGUUGUGCUCUUGGAACAAAGUUUACCAUUUAGUCUCACCCAAAGAAAUGAAGUUCAUGCACUCUAAGACUCACUUCAUGAAGUGAUUUAUUAAAAAAUGGCAAUGCAAGUGGAUCCAUUGACUUCUGCAGAGAGAAGUCACUUCUUUCUCCUCUGUAGGGUAAGUCUUGCACAGAUCAAUCCUUCCCACAACUGCAACAACUACAGUAAUGGUGGGUAGAAACUGAGCAAGAUAGUUCAGUCUGGAAGAGCCAGUGUCCUUUCUUCAAGGCUGGUGUGCAGGUCCUUGCUCCUAGCCUACUGCCUUAGGCAGUUGCUUCCUUAUCUUAUUUUUCAAACCAAGGUUGCCCAUGUAAUUGACUUAUUUUUAUAACUCGGAGUAAAUAAUUGGAUUCUUAAAUCAGUACUGCUGUGGUUGAACUGAUAGGAAAUGUAAUAAUCCAUAUAAUUUAUACUAUUCUAUAUAAUUUUAUGAGGGUUUGCCUAUCAUCCCUGGAAUUACAAAAUCAACAUGAUUUCAGUGAUUGUCUUGUAAGGUCCAAAGGGCAAAACUCAUUCUUUCAUAGAUGAGGUAAUUCCCUGUUUUAUAAGAAACUCAUCCUUUUCACCUUCAUACAGAUUCUUAUGGUUUAAAAUGUUCAAAUAUAUAAAUAUUGAUUCCCCGAACUCCAAAUUUUCUGAAUUUCACAGGUCAAAUAUUGAGUGACUGAGUUUUGUUUAAUAUUCACUUGAAUCAAAUCCUUCACUAAAAUAUUUUGUCAACAUUCCAGUUACCUUUUAAAUUUAAAUUUCUGUGUACCUCCACACACCCAAGUUCUCUGUAAGUGUAAGUUUACCGCAAUGAAAGCUCGCUGACACAAUUUAUGUAUUUUUUUUUUCAGUAUAACUGAAGCUAUAGGUUAGUUUUUUAAAAAUUUGUUUGAAUUUAGAAAACAAUCUCUGGUCAACUGCAGUUCAGAUAUUUCUAUAAGUAGCCUGUUUAGUAAUAUAAGUAAUUUGUUUGGAGUUGUGUCUAGUAAAGAAGAAUGAGGUACAUAUUGUGUUUUUAUGGAGUUUAUAACCAUAUAAGUUAUACAGGAGAUAUUAGAAGUUGAUCUUAUUUUUCAGCUAGAGAAUGGAGUCUCUUGAAGUCUCCUACAAGCAUUGGUUUUGUGAUUUUAUUGAACAAAUAAUUUUGAGAUGUCAGGUCCACAGAAGUGGUUUGUAAAGGACUGAAAAAUGAAUUUUCUUCAGCCUUCUGAAGUAGUCACCACCCUAUAAAAGAAUCUCUAAUUGUGUAUUUCUCAAUCAUCUAGGAAACAAAGCAAAAGGGAAAAAAAAAAAAAGAUGUUGCACUUUGUACUUUUCUACCCAUAAAUAGAAUUUGAGAAUAUGGCGUUUUACUACUGUUUAUCACUGAAAGGUACAGAAUAUAGUCAAGCUAUUCAUUAUUUUAUGCAUCCUUACAUAUGUGUGUUCACAUUUGACAACCUCGUGUAGAAUGAUGGAGAGCUGGAGGCUGGAAGGAAAUCCUUCUUUUUUAAUAUAAAUUCUUUGUCCAAGCUUACUGUCCCUUCACUGACUUGCUAGUAAAAGGAUUUUUCCUCUCAAAUAUUUAUAAUUUGGCUGUUUUUUCAUUUAGCUUUUUAGGCAAAAGGCCAAAAAGGGGAUAGAAUAGCCAAAAAAUGUAAACAGGACUACAAGCUUCCCUCAUAUUCCACUGUAUUGGUUGCUCAAAAAAUAACAGACUGAAUCAUUAGCUUUGUUUGCAUUUGCCAGGGCUAUUUUUCACAAUUAAUUAGCCCAAAACACUUAUCAGCUAAUUGUUUUAAAAUGAGUCACUUCACCAUUCUCUUUCCAGAUAAAGAGCUGAAGAAAUGAUGAAGGGUGGUGAUCAACACUAAUGCAUUUCACAAAUGAUAUACAGCUGAUGAAACAACUUAUUGCAGUCAACUGGUCUUAGUGUCUGCUGCACGCACUACAGUUCAUCCUGAACUCAUCAUAAUCUCUUCUUGAGCAGGAACAUGCUGGAAGGUAAGCAGACAAAUGUAAAAGUAUAGAAUCUGGAUGAAGCUUUCCUCUGUUCCAGCAAAGGCUGUGGCUGAGUGGAUGAUUUCACUGCAUUUCAUCUUCAGGGGUGAGACCUUAUGGCUCUGGUGUGCAGAAACAUAAUUUAUCUUGCUAUGCAAGCAGCCCGUUGUUUACAUAUGAAUGUGCUCUGGAAAAUGACACAAUCUUGUUCAAAGAACAGGAUGUCUCCAAGUCUGUGUCUCCAGAAAUGUUGUAACAGAUAUCUGAUCUAUAACUGUAUAAAAUCUAAACUUCAUAAGAGUAUGAAGUAUUUUAAAAUCUACUUGUCCAUAAUGAAAUUCAGAACAGUCCAACCAUUUUCUUCAUUAAAGAAAUAGUUGGAGUUUUGUGCUGUUCAGCAAAAAAAGGAUGAAGAACUAGAAAUAAAUAAGGCAGGGAAGAAGAAAUGAGGUGAAACAGGGGUAAGAAAUCACAGUAUGAAGAGAGAAGAGGGGAAUAAUAAAAAGCAAGGAAAAAGAGACAAGUAAUACAAUGAAAUAAUACCAAAAAUACAUUUUCAGCAAUGUAUAAAUUAUUAUCUAUAAGCAUUUAUAAAUGUAAAACUAUUUUUUCUCUCUAAAAAAUACACUAAAUAUUAAGUAAAAGACUGUAGGAAGUAAGUUAUAAUGUAAGAUCCAAUGUAAGCAAAAUAACUUUGGAAAUAUUAUAAAUAAAACAACUUAUAAAUACAAAUAAAAUAUUUUAAAACGUCAAAGUGCAUAGUGUAACAAUUAAGAAAGUUGAGCCACAGGUUUCAUGCUUUGUUGUCUUUCAGAGACCUAAAAAUAAUUCUGAUUUUUUGAGGCAAGACUUUGGGGGUUCUCACCUGCAUGGAAAUUGUGGUAGAAUUGGAGAAAGAAAAAAAAAAAAAA